rnacentral:rRNA from 1 species
GACGAACGCUGGCGGCGUGCUUAACACAUGCAAGUCGAACGGAAAGGCCCUGCUUUUGUGGGGUGCUCGAGUGGCGAACGGGUGAGUAACACGUGAGUAACCUGCCCUUGACUUUGGGAUAACUUCAGGAAACUGGGGCUAAUACCGGAUAGGAGCUCCUGAUGCAUGGUGGGGGUUGGAAAGUUUCGGCGGUUGGGGAUGGACUCGCGGCUUAUCAGCUUGUUGGUGGGGUAGUGGCUUACCAAGGCUUUGACGGGUAGCCGGCCUGAGAGGGUGACCGGCCACAUUGGGACUGAGAUACGGCCCAGACUCCUACGGGAGGCAGCAGUGGGGAAUAUUGCACAAUGGGCGGAAGCCUGAGGCAGCAACGCCGCGUGCGGGAUGACGGCCUUCGGGUUGUAAACCGCUUUCGCCUGUGACGAAGCGUGAGUGACGGUAAUGGGUAAAGAAGCACCGGCUAACUACGUG